rnacentral:pre_miRNA from 1 species
GAAGAUUAUUCUUGCAAUUACCAGCGGUUCGCAUUACUAAAAUAUCGGUGGGAAUACCUAACAGAAUAUGCUUGGUAUUCCGAUGUGCAUGGUCUAAAGAUUUCA